rnacentral:rRNA from 1 species
GGGUAGCAAUACACCGGCGUACGGGUGCGUAACGCGUAUGGAACCUGCCCUUAUCUGGGGGAUAACUCGGGGAAACUCGAGCUAAUACCGCAUAAGAUAGUAGAAUGGCAUCAUUCAGCUAUUAAAGAUUUAUUGGAUAAGGAUGGCCAUGCGUAAGAUUAGAUAGUUGGCGAGGUAAUGGCUCACCAAGUCUACGAUCUUUAGGGGCUCUGAGAGGAGAAUCCCCCACACUGGCACUGAGAUACGGGCCAGACUCCUACGGGAGGCAGCAGUAGGGAAUAUUGGGCAAUGGGCGAAAGCCUGACCCAGCCACGCCGCGUGCAGGAAGACGGCCCUCUGGGUUGUAAACUGCUUUUAACUGGGAAGAAAAGAGGCCUUGCGAGGCAAGUUGACGGUACCAGUUGAAUAAGCCACGGCUAACUACGUGCCAGCAGCCGCGGUAAUACGUAGGUGGCGAGCGUUAUCCGGAUUUAUUGGGUUUAAAGGGAGCGUAGGCGGCUGAUUAAGUCGGCGGUGAAAGGUAGCAGCUUAACUGUUUUACAUGCCGUUGAUACUGGUUAGCUUGAGUUGACAGAAGGCAGAUAGAAUUCCUGAUGUAGCGGUGAAAUGCUUAGAUAUCAGGAGGAAUACCGAUUGCGAAGGCAGUCUGCUGCAGUCACACUGACGCUGAGGCUCGAAGGUGCG